rnacentral:tRNA from 1 species
GCCUUCGGGGUGUAGUGGUCAGCUCGCUUGACGCGUAUUCGAGAGUUCCGUGGUUCGAGUCCCGGCGAAGGCA